UGGCCAACCUCUUUCAGGGCUGGCAUCAUCUUUCCCUGAGGUUUGGGGAAAGGAGAGUCUCCUGUGGACUCACCUUAGUGGGGGCCAAACAGGGUCACUUAAAUUGUAGCUAUAGCUGAAUUUAGAAAUCAUCCCGUUCACCAGAGCUUCUUAGCCUUUUGGGGUUUUUUUAUUUUAUUUUAUUUUUUUUUUAGGGAGUAUAGGGGCUAUUGACCUAAUUUGAAAAUUUGACCAAAGCUGUGGACUCUUUAGAAAAAUGUGCAAAUGAGGCUGGAAUUCCCAUCAUUGACUAGAGCAGCGGUUGUUAGCCUUCACCCAGCAUCACGAUCUCCUGGGGGUGCUUACUAAAAAUGCACGUUCCUAGGCCCACCCCGGACUCCAAUCUAGACGGUGUGCCUAGGAACCUGCAUUUUGGGAGGCCCCCUGAAGUGGAGGGGAAAGACAGGGGCCCUCAAGUGGGUGCCUGGCUGUGCCCCUGGGUGGGUCUGUGCCACACAGCCCCUGCGCCGGCCCUCCUGGGAGCCAGCGGAGCCGAGCUGGCAUAAGCUUCGUCCGGUUCCUUUCUCACUGCACCGCCCUCCUACCCAUAGGGGUAGGACAGGCAGGAGGCCAAGCCAAACAUUUAAGACUCAUUAGUGGGGAAAAUGGAGCCUGGGCUGGUCCCAGUGCCCGGGCUCUGCUGGGAGGGGGAAGAGAUGGGGCCCUGCUUCCAGAGGAGGCCAGAGCCAGGUCUGGUGGUUGGGGACAGCACACUCUCCCUCUGUGUGAGGACCCGUUCGGGGGCCUUGCUGGGAGUCAGGGAGAGAAGAGGGCAACAUACAUGAGCUUUGAACCGCCUGUAAAGUGUUUGACAACUGGGAAAGUGUUAUCUUCUUAGCAUGUAGUCAUUUCUCAGACUGUGCCUGGGGUUCUUGGGAGUGGCCUCAGAGGGGGCAGGUCUUGGGUCUUUGGAACACGGCUUUGGAUUCUGGAAAUGGCUGAAAGUCACUUGGAUGUCUGUAUUUGGGGAAUUCUUUGGGCAGUCAAGCGGGCUGAUCAAUUUUGGUCCAAGGUGGCUCUGAAGGCGGCUUCUGAAGAGUUGAAUGAGCUCUAGAAUAAGUGUACAGCCCUUGAGGGCACCACUUUAAAGACAAGUCCAUGUGUUUAUAAACGAAUCAACCCCUUUCCUACAUGUCAGAAAGCUGAACUGUCCCUUCCCGGGAUUUUUGUUGAUAACUCUCAGAGGAUCUGGUCCCAAUCCUGUCAUGAUUAGAAACGUCUCAACACGGUCUCUCCCUGAUUCCUUGCUUCCGAGGCCCUCACCCAGAGCCUGUCCACGUGUGAAUUUGAUACCAGAUAACAGAGGAAGCUUUGGGGAACUGAACAGGAGUGGAGUCCACGGGGCUGUCCCACAUUCCCUGCAAUCUGAGGCUGGAAUUGGGGUUGGGGUUGGGGUUGAGCCUGUGAACGAGCUGGCCGUUGCCCACGGAAGCCUUUUGCUCUUUGGGUGGUAGUGGUGGGUGUUGUGGGAAGUCUUCUACCCACUGUUCCUGCCCAUUGUCCUCCCUCCAGCAUCCUGUACCCCAAAUGUAGUCCAGCCAUCUGCCAUGGGCACAGCCCAUCCCCGAGAGGGCUAGAGACAGGCGGUUCUGGUGGAGGGGUGAGCAGGUCAGAGUUUCUCUGUGGCUUCUGACCCUCAGGGACGCUCUCUGAGCCUCAGCUUUAAAAGAGGUAUAAAAUAGAGGAUCGCCUCUACAGAACUGUUUUGAGGUCUAAAUGGUGGCAAAUGAACAUACCUGGGACAGGGCAAGUGGUCCUGGCUAGUUCCUUCCUUUGUUUGUUUAUAUGGUGGGAACAGAGGACCUUUUUUGGAUCUCUUGACUCCUAGACUCAGAGGAGGCUGACACUUGGCCUGGAAGCUGGUGGACGGGAUUUUCUCGGGGAUGAUUUGCCUCUGGGGUCUCUCUGAGCCUGAAGUGUAGGUUCACCUGGGAUAAGCCUUUGGCCACUGAGCCACUGCCCUGACUCCCCGCCCCUCCCCUGCCAGAGACAGCCCGUCACAGACACAUGCUGGCAGGUUCCAGAGGCACACGGCUCUACCCUGGGGAGAGUGCCAGGCCCUCGUGGCUGGAGCCUCCUGGGUGCAGAAUGAUCAAGUAGGUUUUAAUUGCUGCCCAAGGAGCAACUCUAAUUAUACUUUCAUUUAUAUAGCACUCUGUCUCCAAAGGGCCGGACACCCAUUCAUUCAUACUUUUAGAGACAAAGCUUGUUGAAUUUUUUUUCUGAUGACAAAAGCAAAGCAUAUUCAUUGUAGACCACUUAGAAAAUACAGAGAAGUACAAUUAAGAAAAGAAAUUCCCUGUAACUUCACCACCCAGAUAUACCAGUUUUUAAAAAGUCUACUUUCUAUUUUAGAAUAGAUUUAGAUUAAUAGAAAAAUUGCAAAAAUAGUACAGAGAGUUCCCCUCAACCCACACCCAGUUUUCCUUAAUGUUAAUAUCUUACAUCGGUAUGGUACUUCGGUUACAACAAACGAAAUGGUAUUGAUACAUUUUUAUUAAAGUCCAGACUUUAUUCACAUUCCUUAGUUUUUACCUAAUAGCCCUUUUCUGUUCCAGGAUCCCACCCAGGAUCCCACAUUACAUGUAGUUGUCACGUUUCUUUAGGCUCUGUUUGGCUGUGACAGUUUCUGAGACUUGCCUUAUUUUCUUUUUUUUUUUGCAGGUCCCUCACCGUUGUGGCCUCUCCCGUUGCGGAGCACAGGCUCCGGAUGCGCAGGCUCAGCGGCCAUGGCUCACAGGCCCAGCCGCUACGCGGCAUGUGGGAUCUUCCCGGACGGGGGCACGAACCCGUGUCCCCCGCAUCAGCAGGCGGACUCUCAACCACUGCGCCACCAGGGAAGCCUGACUUGCCUUAGUUUUGAUGACCCUGACAGUUUUCAGGAGUACUUGUAGAAUGUCCUUUAAUUUGAGUUUCUCCGAUGUUUUUCUCCUGAUUAGACGGUGAUUAUAGGUUUUGGGGAGGUGGAAGUAAAGCAUUAUUCUCAUGAGACCAUAUCAAAGGUACCUGAUACCCAAACGACUUAUUACUCUUAAUUUUAACCUUGAUCAGCUGGCCAAGGCAGUGUUUGUCAGAUUUCUCCACUGUGAAGUUACUCUUUCCCCACUUUCCAUACCGUACUCUUUGGAGGGAAGUACUAACUCUGGUGUUUUGAUAUAUUUGUUUCCAAUCUCAAACGUUUCCCCCUCACUUCCUAAAAUGAAAGCAAAAUUCCCGUGGGCGCUUGUUAAUUCCUGACCCGUUGGUCUUAACCAGGAGCUGGGGUCUGGGUUCUAGCCUAGACAGUUUUUAUUUUCUUAUUUUCUGGAGAUCUUAGCAUGUAAGCACAUAUGACCAAUUUAAAUGAGUCUGUGCUUUGGUUUCAUCGAUUAAAACGUAGUUUUCGAGC
ensembl:lncRNA